rnacentral:lncRNA from 1 species
GGCACCGUCGUGACUUCCCUCUAUUUUUGCCUCGAUGAGGCCCUUCCCGGUCUCUGUUUGAUGCAACUUUUAUACCACUAUGAUCACCGUUCUUUUCUCUACAGAUUGACCAAAGCAAUACAUCAAAAUGCGACUCACGCUAGAGAAGCUGCCGCACCCGAGAUCACCGUCGCCUGUAAGUCUGGGUUUUUUGUGAUUUUUUGGCCCACCGAGGGCCCUAGGGCUUUUUAAUCGCAGGGACCAAUGCAAGUUUGGCCGAAAAUAGCCAACCCGAGGCGGAUCACUGACGUAGGCGGCGGCGUUGUCACCAGAGCACGGCAGAGUCGCCGUGCUAGAAUUUCGAUAUUGGUCGAAAGGUGCCCUAGGUUUGAUUUGGGAUUUUUUGGGACACGUGCAGGUACUGGUAGUGCGUUUCAGUUUCCCAGAAAAAAUUCAGAAAAUUUAGGGACAGCCCGUAGGCACACCGUAGAGCCGAUUUCAGACCCUGAGACAAGGAUCUCUCACCCUACCUCCUAUCAGAGCAUU